ACAUAGGGGAGAAAUAGACCCGAUGUUACAAAGCCUUGUAGUAGGCCCUAGAGGUGCCCUGCCCAGUUGCUUCUUACCUUAACUGCUAAGAAUCUUGGCUAAUGGCUUCAGAAUUCCCUUUGUCCACAGGAGGUAGUAUGCAAUCCAUGACUGACUGAUAUAAACGCUCACCCCUCUUGACUCAAAGUAAGACAACUCAGUGGUGCCGUUAACAUUCUGGAGCCCCCUGUGGGAUCAGGCCAAGGCAGGAUUUCAGCUGAACCUGCUUUAGGUUUCUUCCCCACCUGUAUCCUACUUCCCCCACUCUCUUACAGGUUUUACCUAAGAGCACUCUGUUUACUUGCCUCUUCUCGGGCUUCUUUGAGGCAACCUGACCUAAGACAAUUGGUUUCAGGAGUGAUUCUGGGACCAGACUCUAAUGAUGGGAUCCUGGAAUUGGUUCACUCAUCAUGCAGAUGACAAUGAGGACUUCCUCACUGGUGGGGCCCCCGGAGCCAGACUGUAUUAAUCUGCUGCUAGGAAGUCCCCUGGAAUAAAAGAGCAAUGACCCACAUUAAAAGAAAUAUGGCAUGGAAGAAGGAAUCAAAAAGCACAGCAAACUGAGCCAGUUGGAAAAAAUCUACAAUAUAAGACGAGAAAACCAAGCAGCGACAAUGUGUCCUGGGACAGUGUUAGGAACUGAAUUGUGCCCUCCCUCAAACUCAUUUGUUGAAGCCCUGACCCUCCAGUGACUCUAUUUGGAGAUGGGAGCUUUAAGGUGGGAAUUAGGUCAAAUGAGGUCAUAAUGUAGGGCCCUAAUCUAAUAGAACUGGUGCUCUUAUAAAAGGAAGAGAUACCAGAGAUCUCUCUCUCUCUCUGCACACACACACAGAAGAAAGACCAUAUGGGGACACCGCGAGAAGGUAGCAACUUGCAAGCUAGGAAGAGAAGCCUCACCAAAAACUCAACCUGUUGGCAUACUUAUUGGAUUUCCAGCCUCCAGAACUAUAAGAGAGAGAGCCCUGCUACUCUGGGCGAGGCUUGGCUGGUCUCAGCAUCAGCAGACAUCACUCACUCAAGCAUCUGCAGUCCUCUGGCAGGUCCAUCACUGGCUGGAUGGCUAUCCCGUCGAGGGACAGGUUGACUGCGCCACAUGGGUCUUAUCAUCCCACUAGGUUAGCCCGGCUUGUCCCUGGGGUGACAGCGGAGUUCCAAGUGAGUGAACAGAAGUAAGCAAGGCUUCUGAACAUUUAUGCUCGGAACUGGCACUGCAUCACUUCUGCUCCAUGCUGCUGGCCAGAGCAAGCCACGAGACCACCCCAGAGUCAAGGGGUUCUUUAUGAAAUCACAUUCCAAAGGAUUGUGGAUACAGUGAGAAUAAUUGCAUGCAUUUUUACAAUCUUCUAUACAGGGAGAAGGCAGAGGCUGAGCAAGGGUCAGAAGCUGGACCACAAUGGCCGCAGCCAGUAGUGUCUGGACUGACAGUGACGACUUAUGUACAGGCUUAGUGGGUGGUGGGGGAUGUAGUAGAAAACUGAGCUGGACGAGAAUGUAGGGGCCAGACUGCAGAGGUUGUUGAAGGCCAGGCUCGGGAUGUUUGGAUGUGUUCUUCACUCCCUGGAAGGCUAUUAGAAGUUUUUGAGAUAGGGCCAGGCGCAGCGCCUCACACCUGUAAUCUCAGCACUUUGGAAGACUGAGGCAGAAGGAUUGCUGAGUCUAGGAGUUCAAGACCAUCCUGGGUAACAGAGCAUGAUCCCAUCUCUACAAAAAUUAAAAAGUUAGCUGGGUGUGGUUGUGCACUCCUGUAGUCCCAGCUAUUCUGGAGGUUAAGGAAGAAGAACAACUUGGGCCCGAGAGGCUAAGACUGCAACGUACUGUGAUCAUUUCACUGCACUCCAGCCUGGGCAACCCAGUCUCUAUUAAAAAAAGAAGAAAAAAGCUUUUUCAGAUUGGAAACACCAACCUAGAAGUAUGAGAUCACCACCCAAGUAAAGAUCACAACAUUCUCAGCAAUGUGCAGCAUAUUUGCCAGCCCAAGCUAUUUUUUAACUACUUCUUUCUCUCCUUUGGAAGUAUCUUGGUACUAAAAUGAAUAAAACUACCAACUUAUCUGUGUGGGAUAUAAAUGUUAACCCUUGUGGAAGAACCAAGUUGCUACUUUCAAAGCCCAAUCUGAACACUUUGAACUUUAAGUGCACUCAGCGUGUCCCUUGGACAGCCCUUAAACUAAGCCUGGUGUUUCCUACCUCUGCUUUGCAGUCUUAGGAACUUAGCAAGUAAUGAAAGGCUAGCAACAGAGUAGUCGCUCCCGAGUCCUUGGCAUGUGGGUAAGUGUGCAUCCUAAGCCAUCUUAGAUGACAAAGUCCUUGUCCUCUAGGGAUAACCUCUCUCAUUGAUCCUUAAGGUGUUCAAAAUGAGAAAAAUAGAAAUUUUACAUGCUAAAUGUGCAAAUAAAUGACAAAAUAGAUAUUGCACAUGCUAAAAAUGGCAGCAUUUGAGACGGUUUAGCUCAGUGAGGUGAAGUCAUGGGAUGCUCCUCUCCUGACUUUUCAUGUCAUUGAUUCCUGUACAUCUUCCAGACUUCCACUUCUACAAUGUGAACUUGGAGCCAUGACCGUCAGGUUUCCCUGCUUUAUCACUAAGGGCUAACACUUGGUGCUUAAUGACAGUGCAAUCAAUACAAGUGUUCAUAUUUGAACCAAAAAGAGUGGGUUAAAGAGGUUGAUAACACUGAGUUUAGUUCUCAGCCAUGCCACUUGUCAACAGUGUUUUUGCAGGCAGGUUAUUACUUAAACGUUUUGAGCCUCAAAUUAGGGGUAAGAGGCUCUCACUUUUUAGGGGUAAAAGUCCCUACAUAGGGACUACCACAUUGUAGGUGCUCAGUGAGUAAAAGAUGGCAAUGGGCAAACUGCUGGAGGAAACUCCCCAAUUCUGGAGAGCUAGGGUUCUAUCUUACAUUCAAAAACGUGCAGAAGAGAAAAUAUGGGAUAAGCCCAUUCUAUUUAUCUGCAAUUGUCAGGAAGGCAUCCUAAGACCAAUUUUCAUCACUUUAUGUUCACCUUUUAGGCUCCUCCCUUCUCACCAAAUUCGUUUCCUUCUUUGUCGGAAGGUGAGUUUUUAAAGUACAGCCCCAUAUGUUAGCAUGAUGUUGACCAGAUGUGACUUUACAUUGCUAAAUAAAACUAAAGCAUAUUGCAGUAGGUUUAGUGUAUCUCCCCCAAAAUAUAUGUCCACACCCUGAACCCUGAUCUUAUUUGGAAAUAGGGACUUAGCAGAUAUAAUAAAGUUAGGAUGAGGUCAUUCUGAACUAGGGUAGCUCCAAUUCCAAUGAUUGGUGUUUUUAUAAGAAAAAGAAGAGGGAGAUUUGAACACAGCAAUACAGACACAAACAGGGAAGAAGGCCACGUGGCAAUGCAGGCGGAGACUAGAGUGAUCAGCUAGGAGCCAAGGAUGACUGGCAACCCCAAGAAGCUGGAAGAGGCAAGGAAGGGAACAAGCCUGCUGAGACUUUGAUUUCAGACUUCUAGCCACUGGAACUUCAAGGGAAUAAAUUUCUGUUGUUUGA